rnacentral:tRNA from 1 species
GCCCCCAUCGGUUAAGCGGAUAAACCACGGGAUUCCUAAUCCCGGACUGGUGGUUCGAAUCCACCUGGGGGCGCCA